GAACUAUAUACUAGAAAUAGUUUGACAUUACACCUGCAUGCCUCAGUAAACGAAUGUUUUGAAGCGAUCCACAUUUGGUGAGCUAACAUGCAGACUUAAUGUUGAAUAGUUGAGUAUUUUAAGCUGCGAUAUGAAGGUCUGAAGGAUAUACAACUACCUGAAAAAUAUAACCUCAACUUCGACGUUUUGAGCCGAGGAUACAAACUUUACAACGAAGCGCCGUUGCUCGAAACGUCGAAAUUCUGUUUAUAUUUUUCACGUGGUUGCAUAUCCUUCACAUCCCAGCUUUCUGUUAUUGUCUCUAUCUACAGUAGCAACGACUAGUUGAGCACUUUGACUGAGAAUGUCAAAGUAUGUCGUUCAUUUCCACGCAUGUAGCAAAACUGGAUAAUUUGCUGAGCAUUUUAUUUACAAAAUCACUUGGAUACAUAACAUUGACAAAAAGCUAGGCCUCUUUAACAAAGUUAAGCAAUAACUAUUGUUCCAAGGCUGUUCUUACAGUCUUCGUCUAUAUUAGUUCCAUCUGUUUUAAAAGGAUGUAUAAAAUUAGAUAGAUGUCGGUAUUCGUUAACAACUGUCAAAAUUCCAAAUUUUCCAUAUUCACAACAACUACAGAAGCUAAAGCCCUUGCCUCAGCCAUUGAGGCCAAUCUCUUCCAAGAAUUUGAUAAAAAGUCGAAACAAUCCACUGCAGCAAAUUCGUUCUGCGCAUCACCAAUUACAAUAAGCGUGUUUCCACGAGAAAUACACGAACAACCAGCUCGUCCCGUUUUCAUGGCCAAUAGGACCUUACUCUGGCCAGUUUUGAAAUCGUACUCGAUAAUCUUAUUGCUGAAUUUAUCUGCGUCGUUAUUCUCCUUGCCUCCAAUCAAAAGCAUGGUGUCACCACGGCGAACUGUCCCCAUAUACAUAACUGGAGAUGGCAAUGGUGGCAUUUCAACACAUUCAUUUCUUGCUAUGUCGAAUAUUUCCACAUCGGUUUCCGCUCCAUUUCCACCAGCGAUUAAAACCUUAUCAUUGAACAACUCCACUCCAUGGCACGCUCGUUUCUUCUUCAUGUGACAAAGCAACUUGCAUGAAUACGGAGGAACAAGGAGAAGCUCGUAUAUCGUAUCCAAAUUCUCAUCUGGCUUCGUUUGGCCACCAAUAAUCAGCAAACGAUUCCCAUGGACGACGCACUUGUGACCAUAGACCUUGAUAGGAAGAUUGACAAAAAACUCGUGCCAUUCUGGAGGAUUACCAUUCAGAUCCAAUACUUCGAUGCUAUCCAGACGUUUAUCAGACUCGUUAAACCCGCCACAAACAAAUAUUUGAUUCUUAAACAUCACAGCUCCAGAACUCUCUCGAGCUAUUUUCAACGCAGGCAGUUGUGUCCAGGUUUGGUUGAACAAGUUAAAUCGCUCAACAGAAGAAACGUCCUUCUUUGUUUUGGGAUUGAAACCUGCGAUGACAAUAAUAUCAGUACUCUUGGAGUUUGCAGACUUUUGAAGACUUUCAACCGCAAUCGUCAUCCGUUGGACGCACGUCAUAAUUUCAUGUUGCGUGGCUUUCACUUCUGCUAGAUCUUUCUUCAUUUCGUCCACAUCACGUCGUAGAACGCAGCCAUGGGCGCCAUAUUUAUGAUGAGGCAUCUUUUUGCCACAGUCGUCACAGGUCGUCGUCUUGAAGCGACAUAAAUCAAGCUCGUGUUGCUUUACAUCGCGUUUGCUCACGACUUCGGCACAACCUUCAUUUGAGCAAGUGACAGGCAUGAAAUCACAGUCCUGAACGUGUGCCUGUAGAGCUCCAAGCUCGAGGACCGCAUCACAGCCUCUCGCUACAUGGUCACAACUGAUCUUGUAACGGGAAACACAGUCGGCCACAAUUCUUGGAGCCUUACGCAAUGUCUCUACCGUCAGUUUGUCUUGACAGACAGGACAACUAUGGGAGGUCUUCUCCAGGUGUUUCUUGAUACAACCAGAACAGAAAUAGUGCUCGUUGUUCUCACAUUGCUUUGGAUCUUGUAAGACACCGAGACAGAUACAGCAAACAAAGCCCUCGUCAAUAGUUGAAUGAAAGCGAGUUGUGUCGUAACCCUCGGCCAUAUUCUUUACGAUACAAUCACGAUCGAAGUUAAGUUACAUCUUGUAACAUAACCAGUAGAAACUGUUUCAUAUAUUGACCUACAUACGCUUGCUUUUCUUCGAAGAACAAAGGUAAAAAACAGAACAGUUCAUCCGAUGUUUUACUGAGAACUGUUGUUCUAGGAAGUACGAAUUUGGAAAUCAGUCUUGUGACUAGAGGUCGUAACCUUUGCAACCAUAUUUGGCGAACAUGUUAUUGUAUAUUCCGCCAAAUAUGAUUGCUUAGACUGAUUACGACCGCUCCUCUGAAGACUGAUUUUGAAAUUUUGAGGGCUUACCGGGAAUUAAGUUCAGUCGGAUUUGAUAGACAUCUAAAUUCACAAAUGAAUUAGUAUUUUCAUAGUUAUUAACUAUGGUUUAAGCGAAAGUUUAAAGUUGACACAAUUCUACGCAAAUUAAGAUGACAUAUCUAGUCCGUCACAGUUGUGAUUUCCUUUAUUUAAUUAAUUAGUCAACGGGGCAACUUGUCCUUCAUUUUUUUCUCCUCUUAAUCGACAAAUUACGUAAUCUGUCUAUGCUCGAAAUUACGUAAUUGAAGCAAAAAGACAACCCUAAAAACCGGACUAUAUAUGUACACUAUUGUUACGCUGUAACCAUAGGCGUACGGGGCGGGGGAACAGGGGGCAGUUGCCCCCCCCCCCCCAAUUUAAAUUAAAUUGCAAUUUAAUACUAUUAUAUUAAAUAAUAUAUUAUUGUCGCGGAAAUAACAAACUCAUUUUUAUAGGUCAGCGCAAACUGCAAACUUCGAGAAUCAAUAUGUUCGAAAAAGCAAACGCGCUUUUCUUUAAAUUUAGUAGUUUAGUGGUAUCCUUGUAC